UACGGAGGAUCCAAGCGUUAUCCGGAUUUAUUGGGUUUAAAGGGUGCGUAGGCGGGAAAUUAAGUCAGUGGUGAAAGUUUGCAGCUCAACUGUAAAAUUGCCAUUGAAACUGAUUUUCUUGAGUGUAAAUGAGGUAGGCGGAAUGUGUUGUGUAGCGGUGAAAUGCUUAGAUAUAACACAGAACACCGAGUUGCGAAGGCCAGCUUACUGGGAUACAACUGACG
rnacentral:rRNA from 1 species